ACCACCUGUGAGGCGUGUAUUGGGACUGAUGCAGGGAAUGAUGGAGACCCAUACUGUGGAUGGUGCACACUGGAAAGAAAAUGCUCAAGAUAUUCAGAGUGUCCGGCUCCAGAUGUAUCCACUCGCUGGUUGGCCUACAACGCUGCUCAGUGCAUUCAUAUUACCAAUGUAGCUCCUUAUCACAGCCUGCCUAUCAGUCUCACGGAGCAACAGAUGACCUUGACCAUACAACAGUUACCCGACCUAGUGAUUGGCCAGAAUUAUGAAUGCUACUUUGGGUCAUAUCAAUCCCUCGCUACUGUUACCAGUGAUUCGCUUAUUUGUACAUCUCCUCCGAGUGACAGGAUACCUGCAAUUCAGA